UACGGAGGGUGCGAGCGUUGUCCGGAAUCACUGGGCGUAAAGGGCGCGUAGGUGGCGCAGGAAGUCAACGGUGAAAGUCCGGGGCUCAACCUCGGAUCGGCCGUGGCGACUCGUGGGCUGGAGCACUGUAGAGGCGGGUGGAAUUCCGGGUGUAGCGGUGGAAUGCGUAGAGAUCCGGAAGAACACCAGUGGCGAAAGCGGCGCACUGGACCACAACUGACGCUGAGGCGCGAAAGCUAGGGGAGCAAACAGG
rnacentral:rRNA from 1 species